rnacentral:rRNA from 1 species
UACGUAGGGUGCGAGCGUUGUCCGGAAUUAUUGGGCGUAAAGGGCUCGUAGGCGGUUUGUCACGUCGGGAGUGAAAACUCGGGGCUUAACUCCGAGCCUGCUUCCGAUACGGGCUGACUAGAGGUAUGCAGGGGAGAACGGAAUUCCUGGUGUAGCGGUGAAAUGCGCAGAUAUCAGGAGGAACACCCGUGGCGAAGGCGGCCCCCUGGGCCGUACCUGACGCUGAGGCGCGAAGGCUAGGGGAGCGAACGGG